UAAAAAUAAGGUAAUUAUUGUGUACCUAAAAAUUCAUUAUACAUACCAGAAAGUGCCAGAACUCUAAUCCUUUUUGCCAACCUCUUAUAUUAUGCUUUUGUGGGACAUAAUAUAAACUUUUCAACCCCACAAUUGAAAACCAAUUGCCACAAGCCACACAUUGUAAAUAACUUAUAACUAGCAAACAAAUCAAUAAACAAAAAGAGUCUUAUUAUUUAUAUAGGACACUUUCCCUUACCCUUUAAUCUCAUCUCUCUGUAUAAGAAAUUCUAAGUCUUCAAAACAAGAAGAAGGAGAAGAAAAAGUUCUAAGGUAGAAAGAUGAUAAUGGUGGUGAUUAUGACGGAGAUGUUCGGCGAGUACACCGCCGUGUUGACAAGGGUGACAGAACGAUUUCUUUCACGAAGUGGCAUGAGUUUUAAUGGUCUAAGAAGUAGGAAUCUUCGUUUUGCUUCCUCAAAUUCUUCUUCUUUUUCUUUGGAUUCAUCUUCUUUUCUUGUUUACUUUUAAUCAAUUUUGUUAGGAAAAGAAACAAGUUUUUUUUUUCUUUUCCUUUAUGUUUGAGGAAAUAUAUAUUUGUUUAUUGCAUAAUAAAUUGAUGAAUGUUGAGAUGAAGAGUAUUUCUUUGGAGGAUUAGGCGUUGUUAGACUCUUGCAUUUGAUGUGUAAUUAUGACACAUAUUUUGUUAUAGAAAAUUAUACUCCUUAUAGUUUUGAUUAUUUUUCAUUCAUUUAAUUUUCAAACUUUCCCUUACCUUGAAUUAUUCUUCAGCUGCAGAGGCUUGAGGUAUGCCUUUAUUUAAAAUGUGAUAUUGAGUAUUAUUGGAAAAAUAAAGCAUGAAUCAUG
rnacentral:lncRNA from 1 species